AUGGCGGAGACCGCGACCGCGACCGCUCCUCGGCCUCGGCGCCUCCUCCCGUCCGUACCUACGACCAGCCGCCUCCGCCGCGACCACCCGCGCCAUGUAGCUUCCCCGUGCCGCUCUGCUCGCGUGGAGCUUCUGGUCGCCGACGGCGGCCGUCCUCAGGCGCGGCGCCUAGCUAGACCGACCGCGAGCACAUCAGUCAAGCGCCUCUCGGACGCAUCGGCGCCCGCGGUCGGCUCCGCCAUGCCCGCCCUGCUGCCAUUGUCAUACUCUUCAGUUCAGGUGUUCUCUUCCUUCAGAGUUGUGAGGAUCAAGCUCACAACAAUGGCUGGAGGGCCGUUGGGAUUCUGGAAUGACUGGGCGUCCCAGAUUGGGGUUCUCUUGAGCCUCUUCUUCCAGGUCAUGCUCCAUAUCUUUGCCAACAUCCGUCGGCAUAAAGACGGCUCAAAUUGGCUGAGGUUCCCCCUCUGGGUGGCGUACCAGCUGUCCGACUCCACUGCGACAUAUGCCGCUGGCCAGCUCCUCUUAAGCGGCGCAAAAAAAGACCACCACCUAAUCGCCUUCUGGGUGCCGUUCCUCCUACUGCACCUCGGCGGCCCGGAUAACAUCACCGCCUACGCCCUCGAGGAUAGCAAGCUCUGGGGGCGCCAUUUGCUAAUCCUUCUGGUCCAGGUCCUGGGUGCUGGAUAUGUCCUAUACAAGCAUAUUGUCGGUAGCGGGACCUUGCUCAUGGUGGCUGCCAUCUUGAUAUCUGUUGUCGGUGCUGCAAAGUAUGGGGAGAGGACAUGGGCGCUCCGAUCCGCCAAGUUCAGCAGCCUCCGGAGCUCUCUCAAGGUACGGGCACAUGGCAUACAUCACCAGCAAUUUUACACCGAGUAUCAAGACUGGUACAGCGAUGACGAACUAGUCCUGCAGCAUGCUCACUCCCUGUUUCAUAUCUGCAAGCGUGGGAUAGUUGAUUGCGUGAUUGCGGUGGAUGACUCGGAUAGCCAGAAUGAGGUAGAUUCUCUGGACAGCAAAAUAAUCCAGGGCUUUUCGAAAGACCGUCAACACAUGUGGAGGGUGAUGGAGAUGGAGCUCUCCCUCAUGUAUGAUAUCCUGUACACAAAGGCAAGCGCAGUCCACACUUGGGUUGGCUACUGCAUCCGUGUCAUCUCGCCGCCCGCCAUUGCCACCUCUCUCGUCUUGUUCCAGUUGAGCAGCAAAGAUGAUUACAGCCUAGUUGAUGUUGCCAUCACGUACACCUUGUUGGUUGGCGCCUUGUUCCUGGAGACGAAAUCGCUCCUUGUCGCACUAGGGUCAAGCUGGGUCUUUGCCUUCUUGUGUACCACACAAUGGGAUUGGCUCCGGCAUUCUGCUCUGUGUUCUGGAAGAUGGCAUUGGCUUCGGCACACACUUUUUUCUGUUCGCCGGUUUUGGCCUGGCAAGAUGAUCAUGACAGUAAGCUCAAGGAGAUGGUCAGGCACCAUGGGGCAGCGCAACAUGCUGCGGUCUUGUGCCAGACAGGUGGAUCCGAUGAGUCAAUGCCUAGGCAAUCUGUCCAAGAUGCUGAACCUUGGUGAGUGGUGGGACAGGAGGCAGUUGUGGACCAUUGAUGUCCCUGAGAAGGUCAAGAAGUUUGCAUGGAGUAAUGUCACAGCAAUUGAUAUGAACACAAUGGGCUUGCUCAGGACUGGAUGGGGUAAAGCGGCACUGGAUGAAGAGCACUACCCUGGGCUGUUGAUUGAGUUGGAUGUCUUUCAUGGAGUUGACUUCCAUGAGAGCGUCAUCAGCUGGCACAUCGCUACCGACUUGAUCCUUGCUGCAACAGACCGAAGGGGCGAUCACGUGUCUGACGAUGAGGUGGAGCUAGUCAGUGUACUGUCCAACUACAUGAUGUUCCUCCUCGUGGGCUCCCCCGACAUGCUACCAGGCCUUCCUCAAAACUGGUUGUACGAGCAAACCUGCAAACAGCUAGAGAAGAUACGCAGUAAACACGUUGCUGGUUCUCCUCGCAAAAGCGUCUACACUGUGCUGAAGAACUUGUUCCGACCACACCAUCACCGUGGCUGGAAACCUUCUGAGCUUGAGAAGGAGAUCGCCAUUGACAUACUGAAAGAGCUGGAAGACCCCAACUUCAAUAAUCCUAGGCUCAGUUAUGCACGCACUAUUGCGAGAACAGUGCUUCGUAGAAAGGAAAAUAAGGUUUGGAUGCUGCAAAGGCUGUGGUUGGACUUCCUAUUCUACGCAGCCAACCGGUGCAACAGGGAGGCGCAUGCGAGGAAGCUUGGCAGCGGCGGUGAGUUGUUGACCGUCGUGUGGCUUUAUCAAGAACACCUCCACCAAGUAAAACAGGACAGGAAAAAGAGGCAGAGCCCUGUGUAA
rnacentral:rRNA from 1 species